AAGAAGGGUUAAGGUCAGGACAAAGGGUUCUGGCCGUCCUUUCUUGGAAGUUGGGUGGUGCACGUGUAACGAGAUGAAAUCUUUUUUUAAUUACACAAAAUAUUGAUUGUCUAAGUUUAGUUUCUCCCCCUGAAUUCAGCAUUGGGUAACCCCUCCUUAGUUUGUUCUUCUUCUGUGGUUUCUUCUUUAUAUGUUGGGCGCUCGCUUUCCCUCUCCCCUUCCUGUUUUACUGUUCGGUGGGAGAGGAGCUAAAACGGGCAGCUAACACGCGAUUUCUGUGUCUUUCCUUUCUGGAAAACUGUCAGAUCCGCAAUAAAUGGAGGUGAUCUCCGAGGGUG